CCUACGGGAGGCAGCAGUGGGGAAUCUUGCGCAAUGGGCGCAAUCCUGACCCAGCAACGCCGCGUGAAGGCAGAAGGCUUUCGGGUUGUAAACUUCUUUUGACAGGGAAGAGUAGAAGACGAUACCUGUCGAAUACGCCACGGCUAACUACGUGCCAGCAGCCGCGGUAAGACGUAGGUGGCAAGCGUUGUCCGUAGUUACUGGGUGGAAAGGGCGUGUAGCCGGGUUGACAAGUCAGAUGUGAAAUCCUGCGGCUUAACCACAGAACUGCAUUUGAAACUGUUGAUCUUGAUUACUGGAGAGGCAGGCGGAAUUCCUAGUGUAGCGGUGAAAUGCGUAGAUAUGAGGAGGAACACCAGGGGCGAAGGCGGUCUGCUGGACAGCAACUGACGGUGAGGCGCGAAAGCGUGGGGAGCAAACAGGAUUAGAUACCCCAGUAGUC
rnacentral:rRNA from 1 species